rnacentral:tRNA from 1 species
UGUACCUCAGUGGUAGAGUAUGUGUCUAGCACACAUGAGGCCCUGGGUUCCAAUCCCAGCA